UUUUUGACAAAUCUAGGGAAACUCUGUGCAUUUAUACGGAGCCAGCAAACUUUAUUCAAAAUAUUUGUACAACAGAGAAUAUACAAGAAAAAGAUCCUUCAAAAUUAUGGAAGUGGAUUCAGCUUCCGCCAAAGGAUAUACUCUGUGUAAUGAAAGAUAAGGAAGCAAAAACCAAAGACACAUGAAGGAAGGUUCACAGCAUUUGUCCCCAAAACUUUGAAAGAUCGGAUGGGGAUCCCCGUGGACCUCUAUGAAGGGAGAACAAAGCCAAUCAAUCUAUCUCAUUUCAUAUUAUAUUUGCAAAUCUAGCCGUUUUGCUUUGGCGAAUCCAUAAUUUGAGAAGGGUGCAAAGCAUAGACGAGAAGAAAGAAUCACGGCUGGUUGCUGACGACUUGGUUCCACGCACCGGGGUUGGAUCCAGGUUGGACGCACGCAGAAUCUGUCAAGUAGUUUUCGUCAUUUGGGGUCUAUAUAUACAUAUUUUCUAGAGAAGGGCCUCCCAUCUCUCGUCUUGACAACUUCUGCAAAGAAAUUGGCUUCACAGCAAGCAUUCGUCCCUCUAAUUUCAAUUGCUCUUUGCUUUAUGUAUUGAUGGGUGAGUUGGGAUCAAAAAUGCUGGCCACCGAGCUCAAGUUCCACUUUUGCCUGAAAGUUUCUUGGCUUAGGGCAACAAUUGAGAUGACCACAUGGUCAGGUAGAAAAUACAGCGAUCCUGGAGUACCUGACCCUUUAGUGUAGUUUCACGUAGCAUCCUCGGCUUGUGAACUCAAGAGGAACAAAGAAGAUGAAUAUGAGGAUCUAAGGCUGUGGCAACAAUCCUGGAGAGCCCAGUAGUGGAAGAUACCGAUGAUGACAUCCAAGGAUGGCCAUAACCGCAGCAAUCCUGGAGUACCUGACUAGAAAAUUUUUUCAUGUAAUUAUCUUUCUUGUAAUGCAAAUUUCCUCCCUAAAGAUUUUUGUCAUCAUUUGUAUUCAACUUCGAUGAUUUUAACUAAAAGGUGCUCCUACUCUUUCUUA